UACAGUUAGGUGCUUAAAUAGAAUAAUGAAA
rnacentral:piRNA from 1 species